rnacentral:rRNA from 1 species
ACGGGUGAGUAACACGUGGGCAACCUACCUUAUCGACUGGGAUAACUCCGGGAAACCGGGGCUAAUACCGGAUAACAUCUAGCACCUCCUGGUGCCGGAUUAAAAGAGGGCUUCUUGCUCUCACGAUGAGAUGGGCCCGCGGCGCAUUAGCUAGUUGGAGAGGUAAUGGCUCCCCAAGGCGACGAUGCGUAGCCGACCUGAGAGGGUGAUCGGCCACACUGGGACUGAGACACGGCCCAGACUCCUACGGGAGGCAGCAGUAGGGAAUCUUCCGCAAUGGACGAAAGUCUGACGGAGCAACGCCGCGUGAGUGAUGAAGGGUUUCGGCUCGUAAAGCUCUGUUAUGAGGGAAGAACACGUACCGUUCGAAUAGGGCGGUACCUUGACGGUACCUCAUCAGAAAGCCACGGCUAACUACGUGCCAGCAGCCGCGGUAAUACGUAGGUGGCAAGCGUUGUCCGGAAUUAUUGGGCGUAAAGCGCGCGCAGGCGGCCUUUUAAGUCUGAUGUGAAAUCUUGCGGCUCAACCGCAAGCGGCCAUUGGAAACUGGGAGGCUUGAGUACAGAAGAGGAGAGUGGA